rnacentral:rRNA from 1 species
CAGCAGCCGCGGUAAUACGGAGGGGGCUAGCGUUGUUCGGAAUUACUGGGCGUAAAGCGCACGUAGGCGGCUUGGUAAGUUAGAGGUGAAAGCCUGGAGCUCAACUCCAGAAUUGCCUUUAAGACUGCCGAGCUAGCAGGUGAGAGAGGUAAGUGGAAUUCCGAGUGUAGAGGUGAAAUUCGUGGAGAUCAAGAGGAACACUCGUGGCGAAAGCGAGCUACUGGACAAUAACUGACGCUGAGGCUCGAAGGCCAGGGUAGCGAAAGGGAUUAGAUACCCGAGUAGUCCCUGUCUCUUAUAC